CCUGGGGAGUACGGCCGCAAGGUUAAAACUCAAAUGAAUUGACGGGGGCCCGCACAAGCGGUGGAGCAUGUGGUUUAAUUCGAUGCAACGCGAAGAACCUUACCUACUCUUGACAUCCAGAGAACUUUCCAGAGAUGGAUUGGUGCCUUCGGGAACUCUGAGACAGGUGCUGCAUGGCUGUCGUCAGCUCGUGUUGUGAAAUGUUGGGUUAAGUCCCGCAACGAGCGCAACCCUUAUCCUUUGUUGCCAGCGGUUCGGCCGGGAAC
rnacentral:rRNA from 2 species